CACGCCGUAAACGAUGAAUACUAGCUGUAUGCGAUAUACUGUAUGUAGCAAAGCGAAAGCGUUAAGUAUUCCACCUGGGGAGUACGUUCGCAAGAAUGAAACUCAAAGGAAUUGACGGGGGCCCGCACAAGCGGAGGAACAUGUGGUUUAAUUCGAUGAUACGCGAGGAACCUUACCCGGGCUUGAAAUGCAGAGGAAUGAUGUGGAAACAUGUCAGUCAGCAAUGACCUCUGUGUAGGUGC
rnacentral:rRNA from 1 species